CCAAACCCCAAACCCCAAACCCCAAACCCCAAACCCAAAACCCUAAACCCUCAAAACCCUAAACCCUCAAAACCCUAAACCCUAAACCCUAAACCCAAGACCCUAAAACCCAAGACCCUAAAACCCUUAAACCCUAAAACCCUUAAACCCUAAACCCUUAAACCCUAAACCCUAAACCCUAAACCCUAAACCCUAAACCCUAAACCCUAAACCCUAAACCGUACACCCUAAACACCCUAAACCCUAAACCCUAAACCCUAAACCCCAAAACCUAAAACCCGUUAUUGCUACAGUAAAAAAACUCUCUCAACUUUGGUUACUGUUCAUGCAACUUUGACCAGCGUUGACCCCGCGUUGACCAGACUUUGACCGGCCAUUAUGGCCUCACCGGAAGGUGGUGAUGAUGAUCGGCCACCCUCCAACCCUCCCCCCUCAUGCCGGCGACCAACAUACUCACCGGCCGCACCUAGAUCUACCACCUUUACCCCCACAAAUCCACUCAAAAGCUCGGCCUUCCUCCUCCACCGUCCUCCCGGAAAAUACCAUCGUUUUGGCACUUUCUGGGCACACAUCCGAGCUGCCGACGCCCUCCCUGCCUCCCCAUGACACAAACCGACCACCCAAAACGAAAAAAAACAGUCAAAAACCAAACCCAGUUCACGGGUUCCUUUCCCCCCCACGGUGGAUGCUGUGCCACCAACCUUGCCCACUUCGGGCGAUGCUCAACAACUCCUAACCAUCCCUGCAAACCAGCCAUGCAAUGAGUUCGCCAUGCCCACCCUCGCUGCAUCUGGAUCGGGCAACAUCAGCCCGCGACAGUCGCAACUCCACAUCGCUUCUGCGCAACUUCCAGUCACUGUCCAAGGUCACUCUAGCCUUGAGGAACCUACCCAUGACGAUCUGAACCAGCCCUCCUAUGCUCAGAACAGUGACUUUGCCGCGCCUCUGCUUGCUGCUCCUGGAUCGAGCAACUCACACCCGCGGCCUGUGCAACUUCGAUCUGCAGCGGAGCAAGUUCCAGCAACCAUUACCGACCAACCUGGCCUUCAGGAACCAGUUCAUGAUGACUUGAAUCAGCCACCCAACUGUUAGUUCCCGGAACCCACGUUGGCAGCAGCUGCAGAAACUUCCAGCCGCGCCGAGUUCAUCUCCACCUUGACAGCAUCCAUCGCCGCGGCCGUUGACGCCUUGCUCCGGCCGAACUCAUCACCUCCAACAUCAAUAUCCCCCAUCCAGCCAAUCCUACCCAUGUCAGACCACUCCCCAGCCGCAGCCAAAGAAACGAACCAGCCGGCCCUAAAAUCCCAAACAUCACAAAACCCUAAUCUCCACCCGUUUCCACCCAUCACAGCCCGAGCCCAUAACCAAACCCAAACCCAUGACCCGAGAAACCCAACCCAUACCCGUGCCCAUCUCAAAACCCAAACCCCAACCCUUGAGGCCACCCAAACCCGUACCCACCAAACCCAUCCUACCACCCAAAUCCAACAACCCUUAAACCAAAUUUCAGCCCAUACCCCUUAGCCAAAUUACAAUCAAACCCAGCCCUUUGCUAANNNNNNNNNNNNNNNNNNNNNNNNNNNNNNNNNNNNNNNNNNNNNNNNNNNNNNNNNNNNNNNNNNNNNNNNNNNNNNNNNNNNNNNNNNNNNNNNNNNNNNNNNNNNNNNNNNNNNNNNNNNNNNNNNNNNNNNNNNNNNNNNNNNNNNNNNNNNNNNNNNNGAACCAGCGGUUAUCUUCACCACCGAGGAAAUUGCAGCUAUGGCCGAGCCGUUCAAACUGGCGCUCGUUGGUAAGUUUUCCUUUGGCCGCCCUUCCAUGGAUAUUAUUAGGAAAUUUUUUGUUUCCCUCGGAUUAAAAGGAAAUUCCCAAAUCUCUUUGCUUGAUAAUCGUCAUAUUUUAAUUAAAUUAUCAUUGGAAGAAGAUUAUUCUCGCAUUUGGGUAAGACAGGCCUGGUAUGUUAAUGGCCGCGGGAUGCGUAUUUUUAAAUGGAGCAAGGAUUUUCGGUGUGAGACAGAAUCCCCCAUAGUCCCAGUUUGGGUAUCAUUACCCCGUCUACCAGUCCACUUUAUCCACUGCAAAGCUGCUCUUCAUUCUAUUGCUGCGGCAAUUGGCACACCUCUCCGAGUCGAUCAUGCCACAGCUACGGUCAAUAGACCAUCAGUCGCACGCAUACUCAUUGAGUAUGACAUUUCUCAGCCUUUGCUCCCUCGUAUCUGGAUUGGAGAGGGGGAUAGUGGUUUUUGGCAGGAUGUAGUUUUCGAGAAGGUUCCUGCUUAUUGUUCUUCAUGCCGGCACCUUGGGCACAGUUUUGAUUCUUGUUUCAUCGCCAACCCGGGGCUUCGCAAGGCCCCUCAGUCCACUGCCCCCACCCAGCGACCAGUGCCCGAUAAGGGCAAGCAGGCCGAGGCUCCUCCUGAGGAACAUCAGCGACCGGUUCCCUCUGAUCGUAGGAGGGUGCACAUUUUGGAGCCCAAUGGGGGCUCAGAUUUGGCUCAGGACGCUCCUGCGGAUGUUAUUCGACCGGUGAUUCAGCCACAGCAGCCUAGUACGACCCGUUUUGUGGUUAGUUCCGAUCUCCGCACUCAGGGCCCGAGUACCCCGCUUCCAGUAGAUCCGCCUCCGGCCCCCCCGCUUGAUGAGUCUCGGCCGGUGGACACUUCGCCGCCAGGAGCACCCUUGGAUCCCCCUGUUUCACACCCUGAUGAUGUCACCACUUCCCCGGGUAUUAUACUAGUGCACACAGUGGAUCACACUUAGGUUGGAUUUAACUCACACUCCACAGAUAUCCCAGACCUUGAUGAUGGUGUUGGGCAUAGACGUUUGGGUUUAUCCCGCUCGACUGAGGAGGUCCCCUCUGAUUCAGAUAGAGAGUUGGGCGAUGAGGGUCGGUUUCUCACUGAUUCUGAGGAGAUUCAUCCACCGCCAGCCCCAGAUGCAGUUAUUGAGAGCUUUGAUAGUGAGCGGGUUGCGAGCUCUUCUCGGGAUUUCUCCCUCGUGCCGAGUCGCCGACUCCGUAGUCAUCAGAGGCGGAUGCGGCAUCGUUCCCCCACUCCUGAUGAUUAGUUCCCUUAUUUGGAACAUUCGGGGGAUUGGCAAAACCCCCGCCAUCCGCAAAUUGCGGAAAUUGAUUCGUAUGCAUCGCUUGUCUUUGAUUUGUAUUUUGGAGCCGUUUGUUUCGGAGGAUCGUCUCGAGGCUGUCAGGGUGCAGCUUGGGAUGGAGCAUGGUCUUUCUUCUCAGUCUGGGAAGAUUUGGAUUUUUUGGUCGGCUCCUUUCUCGGUGGAGCUGCUUCACGACAUGGGGCAAGUUAUUCAUUGCCGGGUUAGUCACUCUCUCUUUCCCGAUCCUGUAUUAGUUUCUUAUGUUUAUGCUAGUUGUUUUAUGGAUGUGCGAGAGGAUUUAUGGGCUGCUCUUGAGUCUUUUGCCGAUAGCCACGAUCUCCCGUGGAUUGUCGGAGGUGAUUUCAAUGUUGUUCAGGCUGUAUCAGAGAUUUCUGGCGGUCAUCCACAGCCUCAGGGGGCCAUUGAUGCUUUUAAUUUAGCACUGCUUGAUUGUGGUUUAGAGGAUGCGGGCUUUGUUGGCAGCCCGUUUACUUGGACUAAUGGGCACACCUGGCGGCGGCUUGAUAGAGUUGUUUGCAAUGCCCGUUGGUCAGCUUUUUUCUCCGUUUUUCGGGUUUCGCAUCUGAAUCGCACUGCCUCCGAUCAUUCUCCCCUUCUCCUGUCUUGGGAUCGAGAUUCGAUUAGAGGCCCUUCUCGGUUUAAAUUCCUCCAUGUUUGGCUCAAGCACCCGGGUCUCAUUGAUAUUGUGCGGCACUCCUGGAAUGCUCCAGUGGUCGGUGCUGGGAUGAGGGCCUUUCAGCAGAAGCUUGUCCGGUUAAAGCUUUGCUUGAAAGCUUGGAAUAAAGAUGUAUUUGGCAACGUCUUCUCUCAGGUUCAGUAGGCGGAGGAAGAGGUGGCUCAGAAGGAGAGAUUGUAUGAUAUUUCUGGUUCUGCUGAUGACCGAGCUUCCUUUUCUGAGGCUAGGGCUCGAUUACACCAGGCUUUGCUCCGUGAGGAGAUCUUUAUGCGCCAGCAGUCUAGUGUCAGAUGGGUCCGCGAGGGCGACUCCAACACCCGCUUUUUCCACGCCAUGAUCCGAAAAAAGCGUCAGUUAUUCCAUAUCCACAGGAUUCGUGAUGAUUCUUCUUCUGAGUGGAUUACUGACCCUUCUGCUGUUGCCGCUUCUGCUGUUGAUUUUUUUCGGGAUUUAUUGUCUGGGGACGACGGGCAGUUCCAGCAGACUGAUUUCGACACCAUUCCCACUCUUGUGACCGCGGAGGAUGAUGCCGUUUUAUGCAGGGAGCCGGAUAUUGAUGAUGUUAGACGGGCAGUCUUUUCCAUUGAUCCUGAGAGCGCUCCGGGUCCUGAUGGCUUCUGCAGCAGGUUUUAUCAGGUUUGCUGGGACAUUGUAGCGCGGGACUUAUUAGAUGCUGUUCUCGACUAUUUCCGAGGUUCGGCCAUGCCCAGGGGCUUUCAGAGCACUUUAUUGAUUCUUUUGCCCAAGAAGGAAUCCCCUUCCUCUUGGAUUGACUUCCGGCCGAUCAGUCUCUGUAACGUGAGCAACAAGGUUAUCACCAAGUUGCUCGUUCAGAGACUGUCACCCAUUCUGCCUCGGAUUAUCUCCCCUUCUCAGAGUGGUUUUGUUCCCGGACGAGUGAUUCAUGAUAACGUGCUUCUAGUUCAGGAACUCGCUCACGAUCUCAACCGUCGUACCCGCGGGCACAAUGUGGUGUUGAAACUCGAUAUGGAAAAGGCUUAUGAUCGUAUGUCUUGGCCAUUCAUUCUCCAGAUGCUUCGUUGCUUUGGGUUCUCGGAGCGUUGGAUUUCCCUGAUUCGGAGAGCAGUCUACGGCCCUUAGUUUUCGGUGCUAGUGAGUGGAGCCAUUCACGGGUAUUUUCAGUCCGAGAGGGGACUUCGGCAGGGCGAUCCCAUUUCUCCUUGCCUCUUUAUUAUUGCAGCUGAGUUUCUAUCUCGCGGUUUAGCCCACUUGUAUUCUCGGUACCCUUCGAUUAGGUACCGUUCUGCUGCUCCUACGGAUAUCUCCCAUUUGAGCUUUGCGGAUGACAUUGUUAUUUUUGCAAAUGGGAGCCGCUGUAGUUUACAGCGGGUUAUGGAUUUCCUUCUUCGCUAUCAGGCGGUUUCGGGGCAGUUGAUUAGUCAGACCAAGAGCAGCUUCUACAUUGGGCAUCCGGCUUCAGCUUCUUGUCGAACUAUUGUGCAUUCAGUUACUGGUUUUCAGUGGCGACAGCUCCCUUUCAUUUAUCUUGGGUGUCCGAUCUUCACCGGGUGCCUCAAGAUUUCUUAUUUUGAUGAUAUGGUCCGGAAGGUCAGGGAGAGGAUCUCCGGCUGGGCCAACCGAUUACUUUCCUUUGGUGGGAAGCUGAUUCUCAUUCGUCAUGUGCUAUCUGCUUUACCUUUGCAUUUAUUUCAUGUUCUCCGUCCUCCCUCGACGGUGAUCCAGAGCUUAGAGAGGUUAUUCACCCGCUUUUUAUGGGGUGAUUCCGAGGGGCGUCGGCGGAUCCACUGGUGUAGAUGGCCAGCAGUUUGUUUUCCCGUUGAUGAGGGCGGUCUCGGCAUUCGGUCCUUCGAUGAUAUGGCCGAGGCUUUUGAGAUGAAACUCUGGUGGCGGUUCCGUCAGCAGAGUUCUCUUUGGGCUUCCUUCAUGAAGUCCAAGUACUGUCGAUCCGUGCAUCCGGGUGUUAUUCAGUUUCGAUAUCCUGCCUCCCCCCUUUGGAGACGCCUUUGUGAGAUUCGUGAUACGGCUGGACCCCAUGAGCGUUGGCUUGUUGGGCAGGGAGAGUGCAGUUUCUGGUAUGAUUGUUGGUUGGGCUCUUGCCCCUUAUAUUUGUUUAACCCCGCCGCGGCAUCCUCGAGGCCGGUUUCCUUUUAUUGGCAGGGUACAGUUUGGGACAGAGGUAAGUUGGAGGACAUCCUACCUUCAUCUAUUGUGGAGCAGAUUUUAUUGGUGCCUAUUUCUUGUGCUGAGCCAGACUUGCUUUGUUGGGAUCUUAGCCCCGAUGGCGCCUUUCACUUACGGACCGCUUGGGAGCUUGUGCGGUGCACUAGACCGAGAGAAGAGGUUUAUUCCAUUAUCUGGCAGAGACACAUCCCAUCGAGAGUAUCUUUCUUUCUCUGGCGACUCCUUCACAGUUAUCUCGCCACCGAUGAUGCCUUGUGCUCGAGGGGAUUUCACAUGGUUUCUAGGUGCUUGUGCGAUCAGGCAGCAGAGACACUUCGACACCUCUUUUUGGAUUGCCCGAGGACCCGCCAUAUUUGGGGCCACUACCAGCGGUUUUUGGGGCUGCGACAGCUUGAUUUUCUAUCUCCCCGUGCUUUGCUUCUGACCUGGAGACUUCGUGCCCCUUCCCGGGAUCAUUUGUUGGUCCUCCUGCCUUGCUUCAUUCUGUGGCAGGUCUGGAAGGCCCGAAAUGCCUACCGGUUUCACUCACAGUCCUUUUCUAUUGAUGCUAUCAUCUUUCAGGUUGGGUCUGACCUUCGACUUGCUGGAUCUGCUUUUGGUUUCAAGCCUCCCCAACUGCGGGGAGCCUUGGAUUCUCGGUUUUUAGAGGGACUCAGAGUUCUGGUACCGCCUGUGAGACCGGUUCGAGUUGUUGCCUGGAUGAGACCACCACCUGGAGUGGUCAAGCUGACAGUGGAUGGUUGCUCGAGGGGCAACCCUGGGAUGGCUGCUUCCGGGGGCAUCUUACGGGAUUAUCGGGGUGUUGCCCUAGCCGCAUUUGGUUCCUUCUUGGGCCACCAGCCCAUCUUAUACGCUGAGCUCAUGGCGGUUUGCGAGGGUUUGGAGUUAGCAGCACGGCUUGGCCACUCGGUCCUUGAGGUAGAGUGGACUCGGCUACGGUGGUUUCAUGGGUUCACUCCCAGGGUCCAGUCCGAUGGGAUUAUUCUUACCUUCUCCGUUGGGCGUGUCGCCUGAUAUCUUCCGCCUCCAUUCAGGUGAGACAUGUUAUUCGCGAGGCUACUUCCGCAGCGGAUUUCUUAGCCAACUGGGCUUGCUCUCAUCGAUCUAGCCGACAUUUUUCUUCCCCUCAGGAGCUGCCUAGGGGCUUAUUGGGUAUCCUCCACACAGACGCCCAGUCGAUUCCGUACGUGCGACGAUAGCCAUAUUUUUCAUUUUUUCCUUAUGUAUUUCAUUAUCUUCGGAGGUAUUGGCUUAUGUCCCCCUCCUUGUAUCUUUCGCAUUUUCGGAUUUAUUUGACAGGUAGGGGUCCCGCCUAACCCCCCACCUUUCUUGGUGGUUUUAAAAAAAAAAACCCUAAACCCUAAACCCUAAACCCUAAACCCUAAAACCCUAAAACCCUAAAACCCUAAACCCUAAACCCUAAACCCUAAACCCCUAAACCCUAAACCCCUAAACCCUAAACCCCUAAACCAUAAACCCUAAACCCUAAACCCUAAACCCUAAAAACCCUAAACCCUAAACCCUAAACCCAAAACCCUAAACCCUAAACCAUAAACCCUAAACCCUAAACCCUAAAACCUAAACCCUAAACCCUAAACCCUAAACCCUAAAAACCCUAAACCCUAAAAACCCUAAACCCUAAACCCUAAACCCUAAACCCUAAAAACCCCAAACCCUAAAAACCCCAAACCCUAAUCCCUAAACCCUAAACCCUAACCCCUAACCCCUAAACCCUAAAUCCUAAACCUUAACCCCUAAAACCCCAAACCCUAAACCCAUAAACCCUAAACCCCUAAACCCUAAAAUCCUAAAACCCUAAACCCUAAAAAUGCUAAACCGUAAACCCUAAGCCCUCCCCUUGGGCCCAAAGGCCAAAGGCUAUAGCACACAAGUUUUGGCCUUUUCUCCUGGGCCUCCCUGGGGCUACCUUGGAACUUUGACCCGACCCUCUGCACGCUCCUUCACAAAGGUGACUUGAGGCCAUCAGAGAAAAUAGGAGUUGUUUUGGUUCCCCGGAGAGGUUUGGCAGAAUGUUUUCUAAAAUUCCAAGAAAAACCUAUUUUUUCUCCAUAAUUUUGGAAGAAAUUCCAAAAAAAUAUCAGAGCGUCCCCGCAACGGUGGGACAUGGCUUGGAAGUGCUCCCUUCGACCCAAAGGAUAUCGUAUGGGAAAAAAAUAGGGUUAUUUUUUUUAGAGAAACCCAACCCAACCCCUUGGGUCCAAAGGCCAAAGGCUAUAGCAUACUAGUUUUGGCCUUUUCUCAAAAGGGCCGCCCUGGGGCUGGCUUGGAACUUUGACCAAAUCUUCUGCACGCGCCUACCACCUGCCGCCAGAAAAAACCGGAGGCCUUUUAGAGCCAUGAAGUGGUUUUGGAAUAAGUUUUUCCAAAUCUCAGUAAAAAAUCAAUUUUUUCUGCAUAAUUUUAGAAUAAAUUCUAAAAAAAAAUAUCAGAGCCUCCAUGCAGCGAUGAGACACUUCUUCAGAGCACUUCCGCCGACCCAAAGGAUGUCCUAGGGGAAAAUAAACAAGGUUGUUGUUUUGGAUAGAAACCCAACCCCCCCUAGGGCCCAAAAUACUAAAAGGCUCUAGCACAUCAAUUUUGGCCUUUCCUCAUUAGCCUCCCUGGGGCUGCCUUAGAACUUUGACCCGGCCUUCUGCACGUAUCUUUCCACAGGCGACGCGAAGCCAAUAGAAAAAAUAUGAGUCCUUUGGGAGCCAAGGAGAGGUUUUGGCGGAGUUUUAUCUAAAAUUCCAAGAAACCCCUAUUUUUUGCAUAAUUUUGGAAUAAAUUUCAAAAAACUAUAAGUGUCACCCCGUAGUGGUAGGACACUGAUUGGGAGCACUCACACUAGCCUAAAAAAUGUCCAAUGUGAAAAAAAAAAGUUACUUUUGGACAGAAACCCAACCCCUCCCCUCGAGCCCUAAGGCCAAAGGUUAUAGCACACCGGUUUUGGCCUUUCCUCAUGGGCCUCCCUAGGGCUGCAUUAGAACUUUGACCAGGCCUUCGACACACGCCCUACCACGGGGCGACAUGAGGCCACAAAAAAAUCGAGAGUCCUUUUAGAGCCCCUGAGUGGUUUUAGAAUAAUGUUUUCAAAAAUUUAAUGAAAAACCAAUUUUUUUUACAUGAUUAUGGCAUAAAUUCUAAAAAAACUAUCAGAGUCUCCCCGCGGCGGUGGGGCACUACUUGGGAGCACUCCCACAGGCCCAAGGGAUGUCCCAAGAAAAAACAAAAGGUUACUUUUAGAGAGAAACUCAACCCGUCCCCUUAAGCCCCAAGGCCAAAUGCUAUAGCACACCAAUUUUGGCCUUUCCCCCUAGGCCUUCUAGGGGUUGCCUUGGAACUAUGACCCGACCUUCUGCACGCGUCUUUCUAUGGGUGACGCAAGGCCGCCAGAAAAAAUGGGAGUACUUUUGGAGCCUUAGAGUAGUUUUGGCAUAAUGUUUUCAAAAAUUACAAGAAAAAUCGUUUUUUGUUUUUUGCAUAAUUUUGGAAUAAAUUCCAAAAAAAAAUUAUUAGAGCCUCCCCACGGUGGUGGGGCACUGAUUUGGAGCACUCCCGCUGGCCCAAGGGAUGUCCCAAGGAAGAAAAAUAGGUUACUUUAUAAUUAUGCUUGAUGUAAAGCUUGUCAUCAUCGAGGGGGAGAAUGUCAACAUGUAUGUGUUUAUAAUGAUGAUUCUCAUGAUAACAAAAAAGAUUAAGAAUUAUUAAGUUUUUAAAAGAUCAAAUUACUUUUUAUACUUUUUAAAUAAAUCAUUA
rnacentral:lncRNA from 1 species